UACGGGAGGCAGCAGGGGGGAAUCUUGCACAAUGGAGGAAACAUCUGAUGCAGCGAUGCCGCGUGAGAUGAAGAAGGCCCUUGGGUUGUAAAGCUCUUUCGUCGGGGAAGAAAAAUGACUGUACCCGAAUAAGAAGGUCCGGCUAAAUUCGUGCCAGCAGCCGCGGUAAU
rnacentral:rRNA from 1 species